GAUGAACGCUGGCGGCGUGCCUAAUACAUGCAAGUCGAGCGAACAGACGAGGAGCUUGCUCCUCUGACGUUAGCGGCGGACGGGUGAGUAACACGUGGAUAACCUACCUAUAAGACUGGGAUAACUUCGGGAAACCGGAGCUAAUACCGGAUAAUAUAUUGAACCGCAUGGUUCAAUAGUGAAAGACGGUUUUGCUGUCACUUAUAGAUGGAUCCGCGCCGCAUUAGCUAGUUGGUAAGGUAACGGCUUACCAAGGCAACGAUGCGUAGCCGACCUGAGAGGGUGAUCGGCCACACUGGAACUGAGACACGGUCCAGACUCCUACGGGAGGCAGCAGUAGGGAAUCUUCCGCAAUGGGCGAAAGCUUGACGGAGCAACGCCGCGUGAGUGAUGAAGGUCUUCGGAUCGUAAAACUCUGUUAUUAGGGAAGAACAAAUGUGUAAGUAACUAUGCACGUCUUGACGGUACCUAAUCAGAAAACCACGGCUAACUACGUG
rnacentral:rRNA from 1 species